UCAUCUCACACCGUGACGUCAUGUCAAUCACACCACGCACGGCUCACGCAGUCUGGGUGACGUCUCUUCUUCGUCUUUCGCUCGGCGCGGCGAUUUUGUCAUUAAACUUGAGACCUCAACAAAUUGUGAAACCGCAAAUAGAAACUUCGCUAUUUUCACUUUACCAGAGAUAGUCCAACUGAGCUCUUUCUUUUUUUUUUCAGAACGCGACCUGGCUAUCCCAAAACGAUAUCUCGACGGAGUGUCUUAAUAUCGUGUGGACACUCACAUGGAUACACAUUGAUAGCUGCCGAAUUAGACUGAACGCGUGCGUGACCACGGGAAGAGAGACGCCGCAAACUCCAAAUAAAUACACAACAUGCGUCGGGGAUCUGGAUCCGAAUCGUUGUUAUAGGAGAGGUGAAAGUGAACGACGUCCUCACCCGCCGCGGGUCAGCUCGCCAACGCCGCUGUCGCCGCCGCCACCACCACCACCACCACACCGACGAGGAACUUCUUGUCUGAGAGUUCGUGUCGUUUCGCUACUCUCACGUUGAGGGAGCCACGUGUUGACAAGUGGUUCACGACCUGUGCUGCGUGUGGUGGUUCACGACGAUGGAUGAUGGUGAUGAGGGGGUGGACGGUGGUUGGCCGCUUUGCCGCACUGGAGGAGCCACGUGGAUUCGCGUGUUCCUGUGCAGGGGGGGGUUUGUGUUCGUUGUGCGGAUGGAUGCAAGUUGAUAAGUCAUCAUAACGCGACUUUCGUGAAGAAAAUCCCAGCACGUGGAGCGUACCGGACGUCAUUCUGAACGACAUGCUCUACAGACAGCUGUGUAGCACAACCGUGGACCCGUACACAGUGGGAUCUACGAAAUAUUCGACUUCUUUUAUCAGCAACACAAACGCGGCACGAAGAAUGUAUAUGUAACAUAGCUAGCUACAUGUGAUGUGACAAAUACAACUAUUGUCGUUUAUUUA